rnacentral:rRNA from 1 species
UAGGGAAUCUUCCACAAUGGACGAAAGUCUGAUGGAGCAACGCCGCGUGAGCGAUGAAGGCCUUCGGGUCGUAAAGCUCUGUUGUUAGGGAAGAACAAGUACCGGAGUAACUGCCGGUACCUUUACGGUACCUAACCAGAAAGCCACGGCUAACUACGUGCCAUCAGCCGCGGUAAUACGUAGGUGGCAAGCGUUGUCCGGAAUUAUUGGGCGUAAAGCGCGCGCAGGCGGUCCUUUAAGUCUGAUGUGAAAGCCCACGGCUCAACCGUGGAGGGUCAUUGGAAACUGGGGGACUUGAGUGCAGAAGAGGAAAGCGGAAUGCCACGUGUAGCGGUGAAAUGCGUAGAGAUGUGGAGGAACACCAGUGGCGAAGGCGGCUGUCUGGUCUGUAACUGACGCUGAGGCGCGAAAGCGUGGGGAGCAAACAGG